rnacentral:lncRNA from 1 species
AAAAAACAAACAAACAAACAAACAAACAAACAAACAUACGAACAAACAAACAAACAAACAAACAAACAAACAAACAAACAAACAAACAAACAAACAAACAAACAAACAAACAAACAAACAAACAAACAAACAAACAANCAAACAAACAAACAAACAAACAAACAAACAAACAAACAAACAAACAAACAAACAAACAAACAAACAAACAAACAAACAAACAAACAAACAAACAAGCAAGCAAGCAAGCAAGCAAGCAAGCAAGCAAGCAAGCAAGCAAGCAA